rnacentral:rRNA from 1 species
AUUGAACGCUGGCGGCAGGCCUAACACAUGCAAGUCGAGCGGAUGAAGGGAGCUUGCUCCUGGAUUCAGCGGCGGACGGGUGAGUAAUGCCUAGGAAUCUGCCUGGUAGUGGGGGAUAACGUCCGGAAACGGGCGCUAAUACUGCAUACGUCCUGCGGGAGAAAGUGGGGGAUCUUCGGACCUCAUGCUAUCAGAUGAGCCUAGGUCGGAUUAGCUAGUUGGUGGGGUAAAGGCCUACCUAGGCGACGAUCCGUAACUGGUCUGAGAGGAUGAUCAGUCACACUGGAACUGAGACACGGUCCAGGCUCCUACGAGAGGCAGCAGUGGGGAAUAUUGGACAAUGGGCGGGAGCCUGAUCCAGCCAUGCCGCGUGUGUGAAGAAGGUCUUCGGAUUGUAAAGCACUUUAAGUUGGGAGGAAGGGCAGUAAGUUAAUACCUUGCUGUUUUGACGUUACCGACAGAAUAAGCACCGGCUAACUUCGUG